GAUGAACGCUGGCGGCGCGCCUAACACAUGCAAGUCGAACGAUUAAAGCACCUUCUUGUGUGUAUAACGUGGCGAGCGGCUGAGUAACACAUGGGCAACCUGCCCCUUUCAUUGGGUUAGCCACCUUCAACCGUGGAUAAUACCUAAUACUUCAAAACUUCCACCUGGAGGACUCGAGAAAACUCCGGCUGUUUGGGAUGGGCCCGCGGCCUGUUGGCUUGUUUGAGGGGUAACGGCAUACCAAGGCAAUGCGGGGUAGCCGGGUUUAGAGCUCGGACAGGCAGAAGGGGACUGAGAGAGGGCCCAGAAGCGUACGGGAGGCAGCAGUGGGGAAUCUUGCACAAUGGGCGAAAGCCUGAUGCAGCGACGCCGCGUGCGGGAUGAAGGCCUUCGGGUUGUAAACCGCUUUCAGCAGGGACGAGGCGAAAGUGACGGUACCUGCAGAAGAAGCCCCGGCUAACUACGUG
rnacentral:rRNA from 1 species